GAUGAACGCUGGCGGCGUGCCUAAUACAUGCAAGUCGAGCGAAGCGGGGACGGGUGAGUAACACGUGGAUAACCUCCUAUAAGACUGGGUUAACUUCGGGAAACCGGAGCUAAACCGGAUACUUAUAGAUGGAUCCGCGCUGCAUUAGCUAGUUGGUACGGUAACGGCUUACCAAGGCAACGAUGCAUAGCAGACCUGAGAGGGUGUUCGGCAAACAGGGAACUGAGCAACGGUCCGGACUCCUAGGGGAGGCAGAGGGAGGGAAUCUUCCGCAAGGGGGGAAAGCCUGACGUGGCAAGGCCGGGGUAGUGAGGAGGGUCUUCGGAUCGAAAAUCUCUGUUAUUAGGGGAGCGGAACCUAAUCAGAAAGCCACGGCUAACUACGUGCCAGCAGCCGCGUAAUAC
rnacentral:rRNA from 1 species